CCUACGGGUGGCAGCAGUGGGGAAUAUUGCACAAUGGGGGGAACCUUGAUGCAGCCACGCCGCGUGGGUGAAGAAGUCCUCCGGUAUUGAAAGCCCUGUCAGCAGGGAAGAAAAUGACGUUACCUGACCAAGAAUCCCCGGCUAACUACGUGCCGGCAGCCGCGGUAAUACGGAGGGGGCCAGCGUUAUCCGGAUUUACGGGGGGUAAAGGGAGCGUAGACGGCAAGGCAAGUCUGGAGUGAAAGGCCGUGGCCCAACCACGGGACUGCUGUGGAAACUGUGUUGCUGGAGUGCAGGAGGGGUAAGCGGAAUUCCUAGUGUAGCGGUGAAAUGCGUAGAUAUUAGGAGGAACACCGGUGGCGAAGGCGGCUUACUGGACUGGAACUGACGUUGAGGCUCGAAGGCGUGGGGAGCAAACAGGAUUAGAUACCCGAGUAGUC
rnacentral:rRNA from 1 species